UAGGGAAUCUUCGGCAAUGGGGGCAACCCUGACCGAGCAACGCCGCGUGAGUGAAGAAGGUUUUCGGAUCGUAAAGCUCUGUUGUAAGAGAAGAACGUGUGUGAGAGUGGAAAGUUCACACAGUGACGGUAACUUACCAGAAAGGGACGGCUAACUACGUGCCAGCAGCCGCGGUAAUACGUAGGUCCCGAGCGUUGUCCGGAUUUAUUUGGCGUAAAGCGAGCGCAGGCGGUUUAAUAAGUCUGAAGUUAAAGGCAGUGGCUUAACCAUUGUUCGCUUUGGAAACUGUUAAACUUGAGUGCAGAAGGGGAGAGUGGAAUUCCAUGUGUAGCGGUGAAAUGCGUAGAUAUAUGGAGGAACACCGGUGGCGAAAGCGGCUCUCUGGUCUGUAACUGACGCUGAGGCUCGAAAGCGUGGGGAGCAAACAGG
rnacentral:rRNA from 1 species